UGCAGCUGGGGGUUCAGAUUGACUGACGGACGUACCUCCAGUGCACUCCUGGACAGGUACGCGCUGUGCAGCACGCGAAACACUGUGUUUGGGUGCUGGAUUUUUUCCUGAUGAAGGUUUAAUACCUAAACAUUCCAUCCUGCUGCCAUCUGGUAAACAACACACCUGGUCGUCCAUGCGAUGUAAAAGAAAACGUGAUCUUCAGAGUGAAAGUAGCAGUUCCUCCUGAAGGUCAGAGAUUGCAGCAUCUGAGGGCCUCUUCAAAAGAAGACGUAGUUGAUGAAGGCGUUCUGGAGCAGGACCAGAAAGACCACGACCAAGCAGCCUUGAGAUCUUAGGCAGCGUCUCCCUCAGGUCCCUCUCUAUCUCCCCACACAUCCACCAACCACUGGAACACAUCUCCAAAGUUCUGCUGGACCAGCUCAGCUUCCCCUCAGAAGAAGUGCUGCCACCUGCCAGAUGAAGGAGCCUUUUGAGAGGCAGCUGGCAUCGUGAUUGGACUGUACUUUGGUCUGUUCCAAUCCAGCUUCAGCUCCAGAGACGGCAGGCGGGACGAGUCAACGGAGGCCUGGUGGACGAAGGCAUGCAGCUGAGUACAAUCCAGAAAACAACAGAGGAGGAGUGCAGCAGCCCAGUAUAGCCUUCGACCAAAGAACUACAGACUCUUCACAACCUGCUCAAACUCUUGGUACAGGACCUCACCACACGGGUCAAGAAGGUUUCUCUCUCAUUUCUACUCUGAAGCUCACCUUCUCCUGCUCAAACUGCUGACAAAUGUUUCUGCUGCGCUAAAGUCUGGUCUCCAGAACUUCCUAAAAACUCUCAAAGUCUCUUCUGCUGCAGGUUGCUUUGUAGAACUGUUCCAGAAAACCUCACUAAACCACAUGGAGGGGCCUCAAGAUAGUCAUCCAAAUGAAACCAUACAAAAACCAAACUAGCACAACCUAAACACUAAAGUCUCCUGCAGCCUACCAGAGAACCUCUGAGAACAGAGAAUCAGGACAGGAACUCUUACCUUCUGGACAACCAACGUUGGUUCACCAACAAGAAUACAGAAUGUGUCUGACCAAAAACCUCUGAAGACUCACUACAGCCAAGAUAAAGACACAACUCACCUGCACCAAAUCCACUAAUCAUUGCACACAUUAACACCAUGUGCUAACUGUGGCUAAAGAACCACAUUUACCAAGACAACUAUCCAGUACAAAGCCCUAAAACACACCAAGAAACACAUUAAAGAUGAUUUUACUGCUGGAAGCUGCAAGCCAACGCCUAAAGAACAAACUAAAGCAAUGGAGCCAAACCCGGUUUAGUGGUGAAGAGAAGCAGAAGAAAUGUUUGUCUGCAGCUAAAUAAAGCAGGAAGACACCGAGCUGCUCAGGUGUUCCUGAUAACACCAAGCAGCCACCUGGACAGCCAAUAGGAACACAGCUUCCUGGAAGUUUUGCACAGACAAUUUGCACAGACAUUCUUGCACUGCACAUCUUUGCACUUUUAAACUUUAUUUUUAUUUUUAUUUUUUCUGUUAAAAAUUUUGCCACCCUUGUAUAUAUUGUAAAUAAAACUGCUGUAACAAUGUAAAUUUCCCCUGGAGUGGGGAGAAAUAAAGAACUUUAUCUUUAUCUUAUCUUAAGUCCAGAGGGCUGGCUUAGUGAAGUAAAUUUAGUUUAAAGUUGAAGCAGAAAGUUAACAAAGAAAGUUGAAAACCACCUUCUGAUACCUGAAAUCUCUGAGUUUUCACACAAAGAACACCUGAACAUGUCAAACUGGUUCCAUAGUAGAACCAUCAUUGUAAAAACGUCAUAGUAUGGUGUGUUGCUCCAAAAACAUUACAACCCGGCUGUCUCGGGUCGCCGAGGAGCAACACAAAAACAGGACAAACGCUGGUUUCCAGGGGGUUAGGAGGAUAUUUAUUUGAAAGAGGAAGUUUACAACAACACAACAUGUGAAGGAGCAGAAACUUUACAGCUGGCAAAGAUAUGAGCUCCAAUUCUGGAUGUUUUAGGAAAUGAAGUUCAUCAAAUGAACACUUGAUUUUUGCUGAUGACUCUCAUUAAAUUACUGAAGAAAUCUAACAUAAAAACCUGUAAACUCUCAGGCAGCUUUUGUUAAAGUUUGUCUAUAAUUCUGUCAUCAUGUUCUGGAACCAGGACUCUGCAGAAGUUCCUUCAAUCAGAUACUUGUGUGUUUCUCUAUUUAAGGCCUCAGGUUUGAACGUGCAGCAGAGGAUUAGAAAGGAGUGAUUUUAAUAUUUAAAUCAGUCCAGUAAAUGUUUGAAGUAAAAAUGAUUAAAAUGUUGAUUUAGAUAGAUUUGUGUCAAAUAAUAUUGUAGAGUCACUUAAAUAUAUCCAAAUGAGUUCAGUGUAUUUACAUUUUAUAGAAUAUUUGAUUUCUUAAUCUCAAUACUGUAGGGUCUGACCCUAAAUAUUAUAAUAAUGAUGUCAAUUUAAAUAAUAAUAUUGUAGUGUAGAGUCAUAAACUUUAAUCAGCUAAACUUACAUAAUAAAUAUCACUGCACAAUCUUAACCUGAACAUUUAUAUUAUUGAGGUAAAUUUACAUAAAUCAUGAUAUUCUAGAGUCUUAACUGGAAUAUGUCUAACAUGAAUCUUUUUGUAUUGUGCUGAUAAACAACAAUAACCCGACUUUCAGAUAAUAUUUAUUCACUGUGUAUUGGGUAGUACUCAUUCUGAUUUAGACUGAUUAGCAUACAGAACCCUGUGAUGUUUAUGGUUUACAGCUGAGAACUGGUUGCUAAAAGUACAGAAUAUUAUUUCUUGUUUUAUGUGUGAUAAUUGGCAGUAAACAUUCUAAGAAGUGGAAAUUGUCAGGGUUGUAAUAUUGCUGUUCUUUCACAAUAUUUGUCACUUAAUUGCCCUCAGGAUGCAGUCGUUGAGCUACCAGUUUUACAGAACAGGCAGAUGUUGCAGCUAAUGAUGCUGUAAUUCACAUUAACAAGGAAACAAGUCCAUCAUAAUUUGAAUGUUAACAGUUCAAAAUGAAAAGGUCAUAUACAGCUUUCCUAUUGGGUUAAAGAGCCAAAACAACAUGAAAAAUACUUUGUAAAAGCAAGAGGUCAGUAGCAGCUUUCCUUUGUUUCUUACCCCCCCCCCCCCAAAAUAUCUGUUGUACCCCCCUGUUCCCCCCCAACUAAAAUGAAUCUGGAUCCGCCCCUGUCUGACAUGAAAGCUGGGAUCAUUCUGUAGUUACCGUCCUCAAUGAGCAGCAGGUGGCGCUGUGAGCUCCUCCCCUUCCAAAGUACAGCUGGUCAGUCUAGUGACCUGCAGCAUCCCACUGUCUGAUUAGAGGAAGGAGACCCUCAUCACUCCAUGUCCAGACAGCAGAUGAAUCAAAGUCUCUGCAGAUCCGUCCUGCUGACAGAGCAGGAUGGAAAUGAAAAUGUUUCUUCACUGUCACUAAAAUAAAUCCCUGCAUUCAGCCUCUAGUACAGAAACACAUUUUGGGUGUUUUAUACUCACUUUUUGCCUCUCCUACAACGUUGAUUAGGUUGAUAGGUUAAAACAAUACCUAUCAACCAAGUACUGUAUGGUUUUUAAACUUUUCUGGUUUGUAAAAAGAAAAAAGGAGAUGCAAUACAAAAAAAAAAAAAAUCUCUAAAAUUUUAGGGGUGCUGGGAUUCAAUUUUAGGGGUGCUUGAGCACCCCAAAAAUGGGCUAGAAACGCCUGUGGUCGAAUAUCAAUUCUGGAUCAAAAGUGGAGUCUUCAAAAGUUCUCAAGAAUCUUUAAGCAGUCUCCAGAGUCUGAUCCGAAUAACGUUUAUACAAUGCAGAGGUUGUCAGAACAAACAUGAGCAAAACCUUGAGAUUACACAAAGCAUUGCAUCGUCUUAUAUACCUUCUCCUAAACACUCCUCUUCCGUUCCAGUCAUCUUAAGACCCAAUCAGGAUGUGUAUGAUAUAAUCGUGUCAAAAGUUAGACCACCUCCUCUUUUUUAUUUCUGCAAGGCUAGCAUUAUUUCUGCUUAACUCAGCAUGACAUUGGUUUCACCUCAUGAGUGCAGAUGAGGAGAGGACAUGAACUUCUGGUCUUGGGGCUUAUAUGGGCUCCAUGGGCUUCCAUUGGGUUGCCGCUUUCCACAGGAUUAUUUAAUGUACUCAUAGCUUCAGUUGACACAUUAGGUCUUACAGUCUUACCAUUAUUUGCUCUUAAAUUUGAUUCACACAUCCUAUUCGUCCAAUUUUAUCAUUUGUUCAACCUUAAAAUGCUGGCGACCUGUCCAGGUGAAGUCUGCCUUCAUCCUAAGUCAGCUUGGAUAGACCCCAGUCCCCCUGCAACUCUAAGGAGGACUAAGCGAUGUAUAGAUAAUGGAUGGAUGGGUGAAGCUUUGGUGUCCGAUUUUGCCCGACUUCACAAGUACGACUGGAGUCCACUGUCACUCCUCUGUUCCUGAAUAUAACUGAAUGUGUCAGAAAGCUUCCUGUUAGUAGGGUUAGCAUCAUCAAUAUCCACUGUCUCUCAAUGCACAACCUUCCUCUUAUAAACGCAGGAGAUAACAGCACACAUCACAAGUCAAACACUCAACGUUUCUCUGAAAAACUUCAUCCUAGAAUGGACUGCAUGUAGACAAAAGGCCGAAAUACACAGAGAAAACUAAGUUUUAAAUAAUACCUCAGGCCCCACCAAUAACUGAUUGUGUGUGAUGAAUACUGAACCCCGUGAUCAGCUUUUAUUGACAUUUUUCACAACAGCUGGAGGCAUGUUUCUCCUCAUUUGCACAAUUUUGCAUGUUUCCACCUUUUCCUGUGUUUUCACCUCCGUGUUUUUAGGACCAAAUUACCUCAUUUCCAUGCAUUGUUAAUGCCUCGCGGCCUCGGCCCUCCAAUAAAAAAUUUACUCCGUCGCCUCAGGACUCGGGCUCAUUAAAACAUAUUCCCAUCCUUGUCAUUUAGGAGCCCCGCAGCAAUGAGACUGCGCCUCAUUUUGUGUCCCGGUCUGCAGAGUCAAAGAGACUACAUGUUAAUAGAAUUCAUGAAAAGAUUUUCUUUUUUCCCCGUUGCAGCAGGACAAUUAGUCAGGCCGGUCAGACAGGGGGUCUACAGAAUCUAUUUAGUCUGAGUGAAAUUGAAUUUUGUUCAAAGCUGAUGCCACAAAUGUUUUGUUCAAAGAAAGUGAGUCAGUCUGCUUCAGUUGUAUCAUUCAGUGAAUUACCUUUCUAUAAGAAAGCAGGGACUCAAAAUGAACUUGUUGAAGUCGGUCGUAUCCACAGUCCACUGAAAGAAUACUGCAAUACAGGGAGAGGAAAUAAUGAAGAGUUUGGUGUCCUGAAAGAAGGAAAGGAUUAAACUGCCGUAGUUUGUUUAUUUUUGUGAAUCACAAGCCAGUUGGAGAUCAUUAAUAGCCAUCAAGAGUCAUUUACCAUAAUAGGGAGGUCCAUGGAAACAAGAUGUGAACUGUGAAAACUGUUGGCAGAUUUGAAAGGAUAAUUAUCUUUAUAGAAGAAAUUGCCAAAUUGAAACUGUGUUAUAAAGCUAAAACCCACUAUCUGGAGAGGAUUUAUAGAGAACUUACACUGCACAGUGCCAUGAAAAAGUAUUUGCCCCCCUUCAGAAAUCUUUUAUUUUUGCAUAUUUGUCACAUGUAAAUGUUUCAAUUCAAUUUUAUUUAUAUAGCGCCAAUUACAGUAAAAUUGUCUCAAGACACUUUACAGAACCCAUAUGCCUGACCCCCAGAGCAAGCCAAAAGGUGACAGUGGCAAGGAAAACACCCUUUUAACAGGGAAAAAAACCUCGAGCAGAACCCGGCUCUAAUGUGGGGGGACCCAUCGUCUGCUGGCCGGGCGGGUUGAGAGGGACAGAAGAGGUAGAGAUAGAGGGAUGGAGGUAGAGGGAUAGAGUUUGUGGGAGAACAACCACACAUCUGAAGCAUCCAGCUCUGGGACCAGGGACACUCGGAGAAAGGACACAAGGAGAAACAGAGUUAGUGUAAUGCAAUAAUGGUAUAUAUAGUAAAUACAAUACUAUACUAUAUAUAGUAAAUAUUUCAGACCAUCAAAUUAGUUUUAAUGUAAGACAAAGAUAACCCAAGAAAACACAAAAUGAAGCUUUUAGAUGAUUUUAUUUAUUGAAGGAAAAAUUCUGCCCAGUCCAUCUUGCCCUAUGUAAAAAAAGUAAUUGCCCCCUUAGCUACCAAUCUACCAAGUGACCAAAUUCAUUCAUCAGUUGGGUUCAGUUUCACCAUCCACACUCACAUAUGAUCACUGCCAGGCUUGUUGGAUCUAAACAUCACUAAAUAGAACCUGUCUUCAUUGUGAAGUAGCUAAAGGGUCUCAAAAAGCAGCACAUGAUGCCACGUUCUAAAGAGGUUCAAGAACAGAUGAGGAACAAAGAUAUUGACAUUCAUCAGUCUGGACGGUUCCAAAGCCAUUGCUGAGGCUCUGAGACUCCAGAGAACCACAGUGAGAGACAUUAUCCACAAAUGGAGAAACAUGGAACAGUGGAGAACCUUCCCAGGAGUGGACCAACAACCAACAUUUCUCCAAGAGCAUCAGCAUCUAAUCCAGGAGUCACAGAAGAACCCAGAGGAACAUCUAAAGAUCUGCAGCCCUCACUGGCCUCAGUUAAGGUCCAUCUACAUGAUUCCACAGUAAGGAAGACUCUGGGAGGAAAAGGAUCCAUGGGAGAGUUGGAAGGAUCAAACCACUACUGACCAAAAAGAACAUAAAGGUUCAUCUGGUAUUUACAAAUAAAUAUCUGGAUGAGCUCCAAGACUUUUGGGAGAACAUCCUGUGGACUGAUGAGUCAGAGGUGGAACUUUCUGGAAGACAUGGGUCCGUUCCAUCUGGUGUAAAGCUAAUACUGCAUUCCACAAGAAGAACAUGAUACCAGCAGUGAAACAUGGUGGAGGUAGUGUGACGGUUGGAGGACCUGGACGACUUGUCAUCACUGAUGGAGCCAUGAAUUCUGCUCUCUAUCAGAAAAUCCUGGAGAACAUCCACCAUCAGUUUGUGACCUGAAGCUCAACAUUAAUGUGUUCUGCAGCAAGACAAAUAUCCAAAGUAAACAAACAAGUCCACCUCUGAGUGGCUCAAAAAGAACUAAAUCAAGGUUCUGGAGUGCAAGGGUCAAAGUCUGGACUUGAAUCCAACUGAGUUGCUGUGACAAGACCUUAAAAUGUUACAGGAUGAGGGGGAUUGUGAACCCAAGGUGAGCGCACACAGAGCAGGCAGGAGGCAGGUCACAGUCAAACAGGCUUUAUUCUCAAAAAAUAACUUUAAUGCCACUCAGGCCAAAAACUCACUAGCCCUUGUCCAGAGGGCGGCAGGGGUUCCCGUCCUUCCACCAAGGACGGCAGGGAGGAAAACACAGGCUGCUCCUUGUCUCAGCUCCAGGCAGGCAGUCAGUACAGCAGAAUGGUCCCACAUCCCCUGCUGUGUGAAGCCAGUCUAUAUAGCAGCAGAUGGAAUCAGCUGCAGGUGUGAGGCUCUCACAGCUGCAUCUAAUCCAGUAAUCAGCAGCUGCAGAGAGCCUCGCAGACCGGCCACACACCGGCAGGGGAACGUAUGGCCAGAAGGGGGCGGUGCUGGGCUAGGCCCGUGACAUAAAAGGACAGUUCAUGAUCCAAAACCAUCUAAUGUGACUGAAUUAAAACUAUUCUGCAGAGAAGAGUGGAGCAGAAUUCCUCCAUGGUGAUGGAAAAGACUGAUCACAAGCUGGAACAAACAUUUAACUGCAAUUACUUUUUCACAGGGUGAUGAUAUAUGUUUUCAGUCAUUUUUCAUAAACAACAAUUUUAAGAUGGCAUUUUGUGUUCUGUGGGUUUUCUCUGUCUAAUAUUCAAUAAAUAUAAAUAUUAGUUUGAUGAUCUGGAAUAUUUAAGUGAGGGAAAUAUGCAAAAUAUACCAGCUACAGGUCAUAUGCAUCCAUCACAGCAGCUGAGACUCAAUCGAGAUGUAUUGUGUCCUUAUCAUAUGUAAUUAUGGAGUUAAAUCUGCUGUUUUGGAUGGUUGGAAGUUUAAACUGUUAGUUCACAUUUAGAGGAGAUGUGCUGAGUUUGAAUGUUAUGACCAGGAUACAGAAUAAAUGAUUCUAAACCCAUAUACAUAGUCUUUGUGAACUAAGAUCCUUCCAGCAGCUGAAAGCCCAGAAACAACCAGAAUCCAAACACUGUAAGCAUCUGACUAGUCAUUCUGACAAACUUUGUGAAUUUUUUAAACGUAGAUCUUCUUAGGAUUCUUGCAUUUGAUUAUCAAACUGUUCCAAGUGAUGUUUUCAUGCCAGGAGACAUUAUUUUUUAUACAGUUUUCAUUAAUCUUUCCU